GGGGGGGAGGGGACGCACAGGGACCAAGGGACAACAGGGACACCAGUAUCACCAGUAUCACCAGUAUCACCAGUAUCACCAGUCCCAGUGUCACCAGUAUCACCAGUAUCACCAGUCCCAGUGUCCCCAGUGUCCCCAGUCCCAGUGUCCCAAGUCCCAGUAUCACCAGUGACACCAGUCCCAGUGUCACCAGUAUCACCAGUGUCCCCAAUCCCAGUAUCACCAGUGACACCAGUGUCCCCAGUCCCAGUGUCACCGGUGUCACCAGUGACACCAGUGACACCAGUCCCGGUGUCCCCAGUAUCCCCAGUGUCACCAGUGUCACCAGUGUCCCCAGUCCCAGUGUCCCCAGUCCACCCAGUCCCAGUCCCCCCAGUCCCAGUGUCCCCAGUGUCACCAGUAUCCCCAGUGUCCCCAGUCCCAGUGUCACCAGUGACACCAGUGACACCAGUGACACCAGUAUCACCAGUCCCAGUGUCCCCAGUCCCAGUGUCACCAGUGUCCCCAGUGUCCCCAGUGUCCCCAGUCCCAGUGUCCCCAGUCCCAGUGUCACCAGUGACACCAGUCCCAGUGUCCCCAGUCCCAGUGUCCCCAGUGUCCCCAGUGUCCCCAGUCCCAGUGUCACCAGUAUCACCAGUGUCCCCAGUGUCCCCAGUCCCAGUGUCACCAGUAACACCAGUGACACCAGUCCCAGUCCCCCCAGUCCCAGUGUCCCCAGUGUCCCCCAGUCCCAGUGUCCCCAGUAUCACCAGUCCCAGUGUCCCCAGUCCCAGUGUCCGCAGUCCCAGUAUCACCAGUGUCCCCAGUCCCAGUAUCCCCAGUCCCAGUAUCACCAGUGACACCAGUCCCAGUGUCCCCAGUGUCACCAGUAUCCCCAGUGUCCCCAGUGUCCCCAGUCCCAGUGUCACCAGUGUCCCCAGUCCCAGUAUCCCCAGUUCCAUCCCAGUAUCCCCAGUUCCAUCCCAGUUCCAUCCCAGUUCCCUCCCAGUUCCUUCCCAGUUCCGUCCCAGUUCCAUCCCAGUUCCCUCCCAGUAUCCCCAGUUCCAUCCCAGUUCCAUCCCAGUUCCCUCCCAGUAUCCCCAGUUCCAUCCCAGUUCCCUCCCAGUAUCCCCAGUUCUCUCCCAGUAUCCCCAGUUCCGUCCCAGUUCCAUCCCAGUUCCAUCCCAGUAUCCCCAGUUCCCUCCCAGUUCCCUCCCAGUAUCCCCAGUUCCAUCCCAGUAUCCCCAGUUCCGUCCCAGUUCCAUCCCAGUUCCCUCCCAGUAUCCCCAGUUCCCUCCCAGUUCCAUCCCAGUAUCCCCAGUCCCAUCCCAGUUCCCUCCCAGUAUCCCCAGUUCCCCCCCAG
rnacentral:lncRNA from 1 species